AGUACACAGCAGCCCUAUCUAAGAACCAGGAACUAGGGGUCCCUAGCUUUAAAUCGGGGGUGCGCUGGUUCUCUGGGAUCCGCUUCAAGGCUUUUUUAACCUACCUAGGCGAUAACCUCUCAAAAAUCGCAGCCAUUCUAGUGCCCAGGCCCAGGUUUGAGUUCGUGAUGACUCAACGCAGCAUCCCCUCCCCUUGCCAAACAGCGGUCUCCGCCUACCCCCAAUCAAUCUCAACCAGGCACUUUGGGCGCCAGGCUUCCGAGAGCUUAGCUGGUGGGUAAGGGGGCUCAUCCCCUUCCCUGCAUCCCAGCAGGCUAGACCUCCCCUCCUCCCUGUCUUCUGGAGUGCAGAGUUCCCGCCGGGAUCCUGUUUUUGGAAGGCUUAGAAGGAUGUAACCUCCAGACCUGGACGCAAGAACCAGCCAGCGAAUGUGGCAACCUAGCGUUCGAACAAGACCUCAAGGUCCGUUCACUUGCCGAGCCUCUGGUGAGCCCCCUGCCCUAUGCCUGGUGCUAGGCUAGACACUGAGGUCAAGGCAGCUGCAAGACCUUCAAGGCACCCGGGCCUGAAGCCUGCCUGGAAACUGAAACAUGCUCCAGCCAUGUUCUAUUUCUCACCAGCUGGGAUUUUCAUUUCUUCUUCCUCCUCCUAUCAGACUGGGACCUGCUCACAUCCCUCUGCAUCCUAAGCUCAUGGAAGGCAUGUCAUGAAACGGGAUGUAGCAUGGGAGAUGCAGGGGAAGGUGAGGGCUGCAGAAGAAAUAACCAGGGCUACAGUUGGAGGCUGUGAAACCUGGUGUUCUCCUGAAAAGGAGGGGCGCUGAUGGAGCCCAGAAGCCAAGCAAAUACCUGGAUUCCUGCAAGUGCACUGACCCUGGCUGCUGGCUCUGCUCUCCUGCACUGUGUCUUCCUACUUUGAACACCCACCUAACCAAGCAACAGGUCAAAACGGUGAUCGAUGUGGUUUGCCACUGAUGAGCAGGGAGAAGAAGCUACAGCAUUACUUCUGCAGAUUCUCAAAGGAGUCCAUGUUUCAAGAUGAGAUGGGUACCAGUGGGUCAUGUUCCUUUACUUUAGAAGAGGAAGCCUACGGCUAUUCUAUUUGUCAGAAUGAGAAGAAAAGGGACUCCUUCUUGUCAACCCAGCUUGGGAUUCCUGGACAGUUUAAGAAGCCUCAUUGAUCAGAUCAAUGGUCCCAUUCCCAGGGACAAACCACUGAAAGGCACUUCCUGCUCAUCCCAAUUUGACAUGGGCAGUGAGUAGUUCCUGAUAGCAGCCCUUUCUGGAAACUACCGCCUCACACACAUAACCCCCGCUUCCUUCUUUUAGUAGCCGCAUCAGCGGUUCUUCUCUGUGGUAGGUUACAGAGAAGAAUAACUAGAUAGUGUCAGGGAAAGCAUUUGGGAAGCUGAUUUGCUUCUGCUUCUCUGGUUAUCCCUCUAAACAGGCAAUGUUUUUGUUGAAUGGAUACAAUCAGUGGGUUCUUGGAUUUGGUGUACUUAGAGUGAUGUGCCACAGGCCCAUUGGCACAUCCGUGUGAGCAGUUUGAGAUACCGCUGUUGUGAUUGGGAAGCACCACUGCUCUACAGCUCCAGCGCAGAGUCUAGCAGAGUGUUCCUGUAGCUCUAGAUGUUCACAGCCAAAUAAGAGUGUGGAUGACUUCCUUCUCCCUACAGCCUGCAUAGCAUCUUCCAGGACUAUGAGAGCUCACCACAGGGAGGAAGCUUCCCGAUGUAGCCUGCGCCAUGUCUGCCGCAGAAUGCCCCUGUGCUCCCCACCAUGAUGAUAAUGGAUUGAACUUCUGAAACUAGACCAAGACAGGAAAGAUGAAAUGCACUUGACACGUGUCAGCAAAGAGGUGGUCGUUCCCAUGACAGAGAGCAUUGAUACUCUGGGAACAGCUUCAGAUGGAGUGGGCAAGAGGCCAGAAGACAUCAGCCCAGUGCCUGACUUCACAGUGCGUAUCUGGCACAGAUAGGCAGCCAGCAAUGGGCCAGUAGAAGGGACCCCUUCAUCCACAGGGAUCUUUUCAGUAGAUGAAAUGGGGGUUACCUUCUACACAUCUGCUAACUCCUUGGGGUAGGAUUUCCCAAUUGGUAAGUUGUGUGUACAGGUAUAUCCACAUGUGAUGGGUCCUCUUGACUCUAGGGAGAGUGGCCUCACCUCCAGGCCAACACUUCUAAAAGCAAAGCAUGUCAUACAUCAAGAAUUUAUAAAAUUAACAGUUUUAUGGCAGAUAAGGAAACUAAGGCAAUACAGAGGAAUGACAAAGUAGAAGGGGUAUGAUAAGUAACUAUGACAGUGUAUGAAAUGAGCAAGAGUUCCCAUUUUUAUCAGGCCUUCUAUGACUUGCAGAAUAUUGGCAAUGUGGAGACUACCACAGUUAAUCUUCAUAAUAAACAAGGCCUAACGCGAGGACAGGGUAGGUGAGUAAGGGGCUGGUGACUUGAGACAGGAAUUUUCAAUGGAGGCUUGUAAUUAUUAAGAGAUAUGCUGGAAAGCAGGUGGGCUGACCCAUUGAAGCCAGUGAAUUUGGAAAGGGCUAAUUUAAAUAAAACAUGUGUUGUUUCAGAACUGAGUAGAACAUACUGUGCCUUCCAGAAAGUAAAAGCCGUACGGGGUUAUUGCAGGAAACUCUAACUGGGAGCUAUCACCUGAAGAACACACCUUGCAAAUUGCUACAGUGAAAGCAUCUUAGUGCUCUACCCACUUAAGGAAGGAUGGGAUAUUCUCCCUGGUAGACUUCUUUAAAGGUGUGAGAGAAAGCAUAACUGUCCCCACACAGCAUCCUAUCCUAGCCCAUCUGAUAGCAGGGAAAGCCCACACUGGCUUGGUCCUUACUAGUGGCGAGUGGCAAGCCUGAUAAACUUGAAACAACAACAAAGAGUGUAGGGGUUUAAUCAAUCUGGCUGAGUUCCCAGCCUCUGCAAAAUGACCUCACAGAACUUGGGGGUAGUCUGGAGUUGAAGCUGUCAGCAUUUGGCCAGAGACUAAAAUGUUUCUUCCCUUUCAGUGUGUUUUCUUUACUGGAAGAAAGAAAACAAAAGGGUUCAAAGAAAUAAACAGAAAUCUGUAGAAAACCUUAAAUAUGGCAUCUCCAUGGCUUUGCAAAAUAAACAAAGAAUGGGGGUGCACUUGUGUGCACAUUCACAUACUUGUUAACAUGGACCUGGGGGUCUUUACGGCGUUGUACUGAUUUCUUUACACAUAACGAAGAGUAAAUAUUCAGUCUAAGGGACUGUCUCAUGGAUUAAAUUAUAGUAAGAACUAAGCUGAUUGAAAACACAGGGUAAAGGAUUACAUAGCCUCCCUCACUUUAUCCCAGGUGUCCUUCUAUAGCGUAGCAACGUAAACUUCAGCCAGAUGAACAGAAUUGAAAUGAAGACUCCAUGCCAAAAGAAAUAGGACUUCAUAUUUCUUCCCAAGUCUACUUCCACUUGAAAGGUUUCUUUCCUCACAAGAAACAUGUGUCAAAGGAUAUAAAAGUGCCUUUCUGUUUGGGGCUAGAACCAGAAAUCAAAAGACAACGGAGAAAAACUCCAGCUCAGCUAGUCUAGAUUGGAAAUGAUGUGUGAAUUUUGCUGUUUCUCCCAACAUUUCAGAGCGGCUGUGACAUAAUGCUUAAUUCAAUCUCCCAGGGAAUCGCCGUUUCUUUGUGGGAUAUUAACACUGGUAGGAAAUUUCUCCACGCGAGGAAGGGGAAAGAAUUGAAACCCAGCGAAGCUUCGAAGAUUGAUGUUCCAGAAAACUUUUGGGCUGGCUGGAAGAAAAUUUAAGAGUCAAUAAGUUCAUUGCAAGGACAUCCAAGCCUUCCAUUGGAAUGAACCUGCUGUGACAGGCAAGUUGGUGUCUCUAGACUUUCCAUUCCAAAGCUGAACAGCACUGAUGACUUUCUACAAAGUACAUCCUAAAACACUUUUAUCCCCAGAGGCUGUAUACCAGGCUCAUUGGGAAUAAAGGCAAAUGUGGGCAACAAGAUCCCAUCCCUUCAUGGAAUUCAGUCUCUACCAGGAAGACAGACAUCAAGUUAGAUCAGCAGUAAGACUUGAGGAGCACAUGGAGAGAAUUAACUACUGCUGUGGGUUUAACCUAGGCAUCUGGAAGCUCCCCUCCCUGAAGAAGUGGUGACUGCUGAAAGAUGCUCACGACAGUGCCAAGCCAAGAAGAGAUAUGCGCUAUAGAUCGUCAGAAAUGGCAGAGGAAGGCAAUUCAUUCUGUCGUUCAUACUGCAGUCUCUGUGUAUGUUACUUUUAGUUUCUAGGCCCACCAUCUGUACAUUCAAAACCUGUUUUCAUUUCUCUUGUGCUGCUUUUGAAAAACAACAUAAGGAGUUGGGGAUUUAGCUCAGUGGUAGAGUGCUUGCCUAGCAAGCACAAGGCCCUGAGUUCGAUCCUCAGCUCUGGAAAAUAAAAAAAAUAAAUAAAGAAGAAAAAAAAAAGAAAAACAACAUAAAAGUGAAAACUACUCUUGAACAUGCUGUGCCAAAUCCAUGAGACCGUCAUACAACAUUAACUUCUGUCCACACUUGAAGACGAUGGGUUCCGGUCAUUUAGAUAGGAGUUAACACAAGGUUCAGAGCCAGGUAGGAGAUGUUCAAAUGCCAGUUUCCCACCACUUUACUGUGGUUUCUCCUGUGCAGAUCUAUAUUUCACCAAGAUGACUGGUAGAGGGGUAUUUCAACUAAAAACACUGCCCAGAAGAAGUAAAAUAAUUAUGAAUCAUUAAUAAUUGCCCUAGACCCCUCCAGCUGUUUGAAGUUAGACUUUCAGAAGAUGUGAUUUGGGAAUUUGAAUUUUUUCAAGCUGCCCACGUGCUUCCCAUGUCUAUGAGCAUCUUGGAACUUCCGCCAACUUCCCCACACUGGCGAGAGAGACUAAGCAGUGGGCAGAAACAGACUGCUGCCAAUACAGGUCUCUGUGUCCCAGCUGCACUCUUGGGUUGGUCUUCUCACCUUCUGAAACACUGCAAGGCAGAGAGCUUAUGAUUUUCAAACUGCAGAUCAUUUAGCCUCACGCUUGGGCAAGCUCUCUAGGCAGGGCUGGGAGAGGUAGCUGCUGGUUCAAGCUUCAGCUGAGAUGUGAAAAGUGAGACUUUUUCAGAGGAAGUAAGAUAAGGCAGAACUUACAAAAACAAACAUCCUGAGGCCGGUGUGCCAAAGGCCACUGGCAAAGUCUAUGGUCUAACGCUAAGUGAGUUAUGCAAACACAUUACCCGGCCAUCCAGGAAACCUGAAGCAGAUGCCUGGAAAUAGGAUGUGUGUUUGCAACCUGGAAAGAAAUAUCCUGAGUGAUGAUAUGGGAUGAGGCACAAAGGGCACAGACGAACACCAAAGGGAAUCUCCAUCCAUCAGUAGACCCAAGGUGGGCAGGUGGUAUUCCAGUCAUGUGGCUCAGAGCAAGUUUAGGCCUGGAGGGAGAAUCAAUCGUCUCUUACUGUUAGAGCUGUUAGGGUCCGGGGGCCGAGGCAACCCUAACAAGCUAGGCUCAGCCUCAGGAGGUGAAAGACAAUAGUGAAAAUCAGAGGAAGGGAAUUUAUUCAAUGCAACCACAUUUUAUAGAGAAGCAAAGAGGUCCAGUGGCUCUCCCACCACCUGCAAGUCAAUCUCAGGAUCCUGACCUGGGAUUUAGGUUUAAAUCAAAGGCUAGAGGGGGAUGUACAACCAUUAAGUGCUGAUCAAGGUGUGGUCCUGCCCAUCACCGACCCAUCGGGGUCUCAGCUUUGGUCUAUCUUGCAAAGCGGCCUGAGCAGCAGUCAGAACUGGAUGAAAUCUCUUUCCAGAACAUAGCCUCUCUUCUGACUGGCAGGAGAUUUCUGCAUUUUCCUUUUCUCAGCAUGAAACUUUUAGGGAAAUUCUAAUUCCUUGGGGACCAUUGUUUCAAUAGUCUGGGAGCCAAAGCCAAGGGCAAGGUGUCACUUGCUUUAGGAAUAUUUUCACUCCUGCCAGGAUCAUCACACAAGCUAAUGCAAAAUCAUGUGCCUUUCUUUCUCCUGUCCAUGGAAGUACCUGGUGGCCGCUACAGACAGAGCAAUGGUAAUUGGAGACCCAGUGGCUCUGGCUAGCGCUUGGGAGCUUUGGAAUGCUAAAAAGAUUGUGGUACUGCCUACCCACCCAUUACAUCAUGUGAAAUAACAGUUCUGAUUAAAAAUGGGAAGGAAGGCAGUGUCUUCCAAACAACCUCAGCAAUGUCUCAAAUUGUCUUCUGAUGUGGAUUGAUGCUUUGGAGGAAACACAAAACACCA